rnacentral:rRNA from 1 species
UACGUAGGUGGCAAGCGUUGUCCGGAUUUAUUGGGUUUAAAGGGUGCGUAGGCGGUCCUAUAAGUCAGUGCUGAAAUAUCCCGGCUUAACCGGGAGGGUGGCAUUGAUACUGCAGGACUUGAGUAAAGUUGAGGUUGGCGGAAUUGAUUGUGUAGCGGUGAAAUGCAUAGAUACAAUCAAGAACACCGAUUGCGUAGGCAGCUAACUAGGCUGUAACUGACGCUGAGGCACGAAAGCGUGGGGAGCGAACAGG